rnacentral:rRNA from 1 species
GAUGAACGCUGGCGGCGUGCCUAAUACAUGCAAGUCGAGCGAACAGACGAGGAGCUUGCUCCUUUGACGUUAGCGGCGGACGGGUGAGUAACACGUAGGUAACCUACCUAUAAGACUGGGAUAACUUCGGGAAACCGGAGCUAAUACCGGAUAAUAUUUCGAACCGCAUGGUUCGAUAGUGAAAGAUGGCUUUGCUAUCACUUAUAGAUGGACCUGCGCCGUAUUAGCUAGUUGGUAAGGUAACGGCUUACCAAGGCAACGAUACGUAGCCGACCUGAGAGGGUGAUCGGCCACACUGGAACUGAGACACGGUCCAGACUUCUACGGGAGGCAGCAGUAGGGAAUCUUCCGCAAUGGGCGAAAGCCUGACGGAGCAACGCCGCGUGAGUGAUGAAGGUCUUCGGAUCGUAAAACUCUGUUAUUAGGGAAGAACAAACGUGUAAGUAACUGUGCACGUCUUGACGGUACCUAAUCAGAAAGCCACGGCUAACUACGUG